rnacentral:lncRNA from 1 species
AAGCUAUGAAGGAUAUUUAAAGACAAGCAAGAGAUUAAAUGUACCCACAUUUUUUUCCUGGCAGCCUAAGCCCUAUGCUUUGCUUGUCAUUCACCUCUUGUGAAUGCUAUGAAAAGGAAUGACACAGAGUAGAAAUCUAGUCACAUGACCUGCCUUGCCUCCCCUUCAUUCUAAGGGCUCCUGUAAAUGUCAUUUACAUUAAAGUUCUGUGCUUGGGCCUGCAGGUUCCAUUUUGGCGUUGCAGGAUACUAGAAGCCUUGCAUUCCUGAAAUGAUUUUUGGCUUAACUUGGAUGUAUUGCAGUUUGGAGCGGGACAACCUACCUACACAUGGAUUACUUUUUGUCUUGGGUGAGACUUUUUUUCUUAUGGAACCGAAUAUUACUUAUUGUUAUCAGUUCAUAACUUUCAGACAUUUCACAACCUCUGUAAUUUAAGUCUUUGUUUUCAUUUUCUCCACAUUCUGUUUCUGAAAUUCUAAAUGGAAGAAUUUUUAAACAACAUUU